UACAGGUGGUGCAUGGCUGUCGUCAGCUCGUGUCGUGAGAUGUGGGUUAAGUCCCGCAACGAGCGCAACCUUACCCUUAGUUGUUUCCCGAAAGGAUUACCCGUCUAAGGGGACUGCCCCGGACAACGGGAGGAAGGUGGGGAUGACGUCAAGUCCGCAUGCUCCUUACGUCUAGGGCUACACACGUCCUACAAUGGGGUCGACAGUGGGAUGCAAAGCCGCGAGGUGGAGCCAAUCCCCAAACGGCCUCUCAGUUCGGAUAGUAGUCUGCAACUCGACUCCAUGAAGUUGGAAUCGCUAGUAAUCGCGGAUCAGCAUGCCCGCGGUCCGAAUACGUUCCGGGCCUU
rnacentral:rRNA from 1 species